rnacentral:hammerhead_ribozyme from 1 species
GUCCGGCUGAUGAGUCCCAAAUGGGACGAAACGCACGUCUUGGAU